GAUGAACGCUGGCGGCGUGCCUAAUACAUGCAAGUCGAACGGAAAGGCGCUGCUCUUGUGGGGUGCUCGUGUGGCGAAGGGGGGAGUAACACGUGAGUAACCUCCACUUGACUUUGUGAUAACAUUAGGAAACUGGGGCUAAUAUCGGAUAGGAGCUCUUGAUGCAUGGUGGUGGUUGGAAAGUUUCGGCGGUGGUGGAUGGUCUCGCGGCUUAUCAGCUUGUUGGUCGGGUAGUGGAUUACCAAGGCUUCGACGGCUAGCCGGCCUGAGAGGUGUGCCAGGGACAAGGGGACUAAGGUACGGCCCAGUCGCCAACGGUACGCAGCAGUGGAGAGUAUUGCGGAAUAGCCGGACGCCUGAGGCGACGACGUUGCGUGCGGGAUGACGGCCUACUGGUUAUAAACAGAUGUCGCCUGAAACGAAGAGUGAGUGACGGUAAUGGAUAAAGAAGCACCGGCUAACUACGUG
rnacentral:rRNA from 1 species